UGGCUUAGAAGCAGCCACCAUUUAAAGAGUGCGUAAUAGCUCACUAGUCGAGUGAUCCUGCGCCGAAAAUGUAACGGGGCUAAACACAUUACCGAAAUCGUGGAUGCAACUAUGUUGCAUGGUAGGAGAGCGUUCUAAGGGCGAUGAAGCUAGACCGUAAGGACUGGUGGAGCGCUUAGAAGUGAGAAUGCCGGUAUGAGUAGCGAAAGAUCAGUGAGAAUCUGGUCCACCGUAUGACUAAGGUUUCCUGGGGAAGGCUCGUCCUCCCAGGGUUAGUCGGGACCUAAGCCGAGGCCGAGAGGCGUAGGCGAUGGAUAACAGGUUGAGAUUCCUGUACUGGUUUGAUUUGUUUGAACGAUGGAGGGACGCAGGAGGCUAGAGAUGCGUGCUGUUGGAUAUGCACGUCCAAGCAACAAGUCUGAUGAUGAGUCAAAUGCUUAUCGUCUUAAGGACAAGUUGUGACGGGGAGCGAAAUUAAAGUAGCGAAGUGAUCGAUGUCACACUGCCGAGAAAAGCUUCUAGUUAGGAUCAGACCACCCGUACCGCAAACCGACACAGGUAGUCGAGGCGAGUAGCCUAAGGUGAGCGAGAGAACUCUCGUUAAGGAACUCGGCAAAAUGACCCCGUAACUUCGGGAGAAGGGGUGCUGCACAAUGUGCAGCCGCAGUGAAUAGGCCCAGGCGACUGUUUAUCAAAAACACAGGUUUCUGCAAAAUCGUAAGAUGAAGUAUAGGGGCUGACGCCUGCCCGGUGCUGGAAGGUUAAGAGGAUGGGUUAGCGUAAGCGAAGCUCAGAAUUGAAGCCCCAGUAAACGGCGGCCGUAACUAUAACGGUCCUAAGGUAGCGAAAUUCCUUGUCGGGUAAGUUCCGACCCGCACGAAAGGCGUAACGAUCUGGGCACUGUCUCAACGAGAGACUCGGUGAAAUUAUAAUACCCGUGAAGAUGCGGGUUACCCGCGACAGGACGGAAAGACCCCAUGGAGCUUUACUGUAGCUUGAUAUUGGGUGUUUGUACAACUUGUACAGGAUAGGUAGGAGCCGUAGAAGUCGGAACGCUAGUUUCGAUCGAGGCGCUGGUGGGAUACUACCCUCGUUGUAUGAACACUCUAACCCUCGUCGCUUAUCGCGGCGGGAGACAGUGUCAGGUGGGCAGUUUGACUGGGGCGGUCGCCUCCUAAAAGGUAACGGAGGCGCCCAAAGGUUCCCUCAGAAUGGUUGGAAAUCAUUCGCAGAGUGUAAAGGCAUAAGGGAGCUUGACUGCGAGACCUACAAGUCGAGCAGGGACGAAAGUCGGGCUUAGUGAUCCGGUGGUUCCGCAUGGAAGGGCCAUCGCUCAACGGAUAAAAGCUACCCUGGGGAUAACAGGCUUAUCUCCCCCAAGAGUCCACAUCGACGGGGAGGUUUGGCACCUCGAUGUCGGCUCAUCGCAUCCUGGGGCUG
rnacentral:rRNA from 1 species